rnacentral:rRNA from 1 species
UUGGGUUAAGUCCCGCAACGAGCGCAACCCUCAUCUUUAGUUGCCAGCAGUUCGGCUGGGCACUCUAGAGAAACUGCCUGGGAUGACCAGGAGGAAGGCGAGGAUGACGUCAAGUCCUCAUGGCCCUUAUGGGCUGGGCUACACACGUGCUACAAUGGCGGUUACAAUGGGAUGCAAAAGGGUGACCUGGAGCUAAUCCCCAAAGGCCGUCUCAGUUCGGAUUGUUCUCUGCAACUCGAGAACAUGAAGUCGGAAUCGCUAGUAAUCGUGGAUCAGCACGCCACGGUGAAUACGUUCCCGGGCCUUGUACACACCGCCCGUCACACCAUGGGAGUUGGUUUUACCCGAAGACGAUAUCCUAACCUUUUGGAGGGAGUCGGCCACGGUAGGGUCAGCGACUGGGGUGAAGUCGUAACAAGGUAGCCGUAGGGGAACCUGCGGCUGGAUCACCUCCUUU